CCUACGGGAGUCAGCAGUGGGGAAUAUUGCACAAUGGGGGGAACCCUGAUGCAGCGACGCCGCGUGAGUGAAGAAGUAUUUCGGUAUGUAAAGCUCUAUCAGCAGGGAAGAAAAUGACGGUACCUGACUAAGAAGCCCCGGCUAACUACGUGCCAGCAGCCGCGGUAAUACGUAGGGGGCAAGCGUUAUCCGGAUUUACUUGGUGGAAAGGGAGCGCAGACGGCUGUGCAAGUCUGGAGUGAAAGGCCGGGGCCCAACCCCCGGACUGCUCUGGAAACUGGAAAGCUGGAGUGCAGGAGCGGUAAGCGGAAGUCCUAGUGUAGCGGUGAAAUGCGGAGAUAUUAAGAGGAAACCCAGUGGCGAAGG
rnacentral:rRNA from 1 species